UUAGAGAGAGUUCAAGAGUACGUGAAACUGCUUAGAGGUUAAGCCCGAUGAACCUGAAUAUCCAUUAUGGAAAAUUCAACAUUAAUAUUAUAUUAUUUAUUUAUAAAUAUUAUAAAAAUAGUGUGCAAUUUUUCCAUAUAAGGACAUUGUAAUCUGUUAAUGUAAUAAAUAUUUAUCAUAAGAUUNAAUAAAUAAAAGUUUAUUCAAAUUAGUUAUUUUCCGAUUUCUAACAUAGAAUAAAUUUAAUUGAAUUUGAUAAAUCAUUGACAGAUUUAUUUAUAUAUAGUGCUUAAAUUCUUAAUUGAAUUUUACAAUAAUUUUUAAAUGUAUUUUUAUUUAUUUAUUGUAUGCACUUAUAUGAUUAACAAUGCUAUAGAUUCAGGAUACCU
rnacentral:rRNA from 1 species